rnacentral:rRNA from 1 species
UACGGGGGGAGCAAGCGUUGUUCGGAUUUACUGGGCGUAAAGGGCGCGUAGGCGGUCGUGACAAGUCACUUGUGAAAUCUCCGGGCUUAACUCGGAACGGUCAAGUGAUACUGUCGGACUAGAGUACAGAAGGGGCAACUGGAAUUCUCGGUGUAGCGGUGAAAUGCGUAGAUAUCGAGAGGAACACCGGCGGCGAAGGCGGGUUGCUGGGCUGACACUGACGCUGAGGCGCGAAAGCCAGGGGAGCGAACGGG